rnacentral:rRNA from 1 species
CCUACGGGAGGCAGCAGUGGGGAAUAUUGGACAAUGGGCGAAAGCCUGAUCCAGCGACGCCGCGUGUGUGAAGAAGGCCUGCGGGUUGUAAAGCACUUUCGAUGGGAACGAAAUGUGCCGGGCUAAUACCCCGGCAAGCUGACGUUACUCAAUGAAGAAGCACCGGCUAACUCUGUGCCAGCAGCCGCGGUAAUACAGAGGGUGCGAGCGUUAAUCGGAAUUACUGGGCGUAAAGCGCACGUAGGUGGCGACGUAAGUCGGGUGUGAAAGCCCCGGGCUCAACCUGGGAAUUGCAUUCGAGACUGCGUUGCUGGAGUACGGAAGAGGAAGGCGGAAUUCCCGGUGUAGCGGUGAAAUGCGUAGAUAUCGGGAGGAACAUCAGUGGCGAAGGCGGCCUUCUGGUCCAGUACUGACACUCAAGUGCGAAAGCGUGGGGAGCA